GCUUUUAUUCCACACAAAGCUCUGAAGGAAGUCUGGGCGCGAUCAAUCUUAUUCGCCAAAAGGUCUGACAGCUCCUGGCCCUUGACAACACAUUGGGAGAUUCUUGCUCUUUCCAAGACCAAAUGUUGCCGAGAAAUGAGGGAAGAGCAAGAAACGCAAAAGGAGACCAGAUUCAGAAAAUGGGGGGAAAUAUACCAAAUCCUGGAAAGAAGGUUCAUGCGUGAAAGCUGCCACUGACUGUCCACCGGCCCAGGGAAGGAGAAGGCUUGGUUAUCGGCUGCUGCCUACUCUCCCUUCACGUUCAGCCCCCUUUGUGAGCAUGAACUACCGUAGUUACCGAAAAAACUGCCUCAAACCUCAGAGGCAAUUUAUGAUGAUCUGUCUCUUCCAGGAGUGAUUAACGACAUGGGAAGCCAUAAACGACUGUAUUUCGAUUUUGCCCCUUGGAAACGACGUCCCGCCGCCUCUGGUUUGGAUGCCUAGCUCCGCUGGCCUUUAUUUAAGACAACCUCCGCACAAUGUAACAGCCUUUAGCUUCUUUCUUCUGACCCUGGGAGGGAACGUGUGGGAGUAGAGGGGUCCCCAGUGCCAAAGAGAGGAACGUCUCUCUCCUUUGCGCUGCGUUGGAGGAGAGAGACGUUAAGGCAGAAGAGGGGGAGAGAUAGACCGAGGGAGAAAGGGAAAGAGAAAGGCUCGCAAGAGAAGAUGGCGAUCGCCUUCCCUCCUUCCUCUUCGAGCAAGGAGUGGUGAAUCUACAUCCCCGCCCCCAUUGCCACCCCACCCCACCCCACUCGACUCCCGCAGCUUCUCAGGCCCAGCACCAGCACCUGUGAUCGCGGCGCUUUGUUCCCGGCUUGAGAGCUCCAGGGUGACUCUGGCUGCUGCUCGGGGCCUGGCAGCUCGGAGAAGCAGCCCCAAGCCAGCCCAGCUACAGUGUGUCAGACCGGGAGCCUGCACCGAGGGCGCCCCCCACACACACACACACUUCUAACAGCACCCUGAGGCAAGGCCUAGGCCAAGGCUGGCUAUGUAGGGGGCUGGGACGGGGGUAUGCGGGAGUUGGGGAAGAGGUGGGAGUAGGGGAGAUGCCUUUGGCUACGUGUGCCUAGGCUCCCUUCUCCAGGGCGUGAGCUGCCCCCAAUAUCGGCCAAAGAACACGUUCUGAAAACCGAAUUAGUCAGAAUAAAAACUUUAUUUUUUGUUUUGUUUUGUUUUGUUUUUUUUGCUUUUGUUUUUGCUUUUUCCAGAACGUGAGCAGCAAGGAAUGUAGACCUCUCGAAACAAAUCUUAGAUUUUUUUUUCGCGUUUACAGAUUGUUGGGGGAAGGGGGGGGAGAGUUGUUCCGUUUAGCCCGAUGUUACAAGCAUAAACUACUGUUGGAAAAAAAAAAA